AACAAACGCUGGCGGCGUGCCUAAUACAUGCAAGUCGAACGGGGAAAGUAGCAAUACGAGUACUAGUGGCGCACGGGUGAGGAAUACAUGGGUAAUCUGCCCUCGAGCUCGGGAUAACCAGUCGAAAGACUGGCUAAUACCGGAUAUGACCACAAGAUCUGAGGAUCAAGGGGUAAAAGGUUUUUCGCUUGAGGAUGAGCCCAUGUGGGAUUAGCUAGUUGGUGUAGGUAACGGCUCACCAAGGCGACGAUCCCUAACUGGUCUUAGAGGAUGAUCAGUCACACUGGAACUGAGACACGGUCCAGACUCCUACGGGAGGCAGCAGUAGGGAAUAUUGCACAAUGGAGGAAACUCUGAUGCAGCGACGCCGCGUGAGUGAUGAAGGCCUUCGGGUCGUAAAGCUCUGUCGUAUGGGACUAACAAAAUGAAGGUACCAUGCAAGAAAGGAAUCGGCGUAACUUCGUGCCAGCAGCCGCGGUAA
rnacentral:rRNA from 1 species